GAAUGUUUGCACGUCCCACCCGCACUUUGCCCAGCUCCUCACUGUCCUUGGACUUCCCUGGAGAACAUAGAACUGAUGUGCACUGUUGGCUCCUGUUGUGCUGCACAGGCCUCCGGUAUUACAAAUGGAACUCAAGGAUUAGUCUUUGUGACUCGUGAGGUGACUACACUAACACCUGGUGUUGAUAAGAUGGCAUGAAAACAGCCAGCUCUGGAAGUCGUGCGGAGUGAUGGCUCAGAAGUGAAUAGUGCUUGCUGCUCUUCCCGAGGACCCGAGAUGGGUUACCAGCACCCAUGUUCUCCAGAUCACAGUCUUCGCUAACUCCAGCUCCAGGGCUUCUAACCCCCUCUUCUGGCCUCCAUGGUACCUUUACUCAUGUGCCUGACAUCCUCCCACACAUACUUAAUGAAAAAAUAGAAUUAAAUCUUUAAUAA
ensembl:lincRNA Gm27216 predicted gene 27216